CUGGAAGGAAAAGCUGCCUGGCUCUGUGUGUGCAGUCCAGCAAGGGAAAUAAACCCAAUGGGGCCAGGGCAGGGGAUGGAAAGCCUGGCAAGCCACGGGCAAGCAGCCCAGCCUAAGGCUGCAUGGCUCAGGAUGUGCUGGGUGAGCAGCCUGCCCAGGGCACUGAGCACUCGGGAUGUUUCCAGGGGCCCUGCUGAGCUCUGCAGCCUUCUAGAUGGGCUAACUGCAGUGUAUGCCCUGCUGAAAGCUCUGCAGGACUGUGAGUGCUGCUGGAGGAGCUCCCAGAGACGUGUGUGGCCCCAGGACCGUGGGGAAGCCUGCCCAGCCCCUGUAUGCCCCCCUUCCAAAGCAUAUCAUGCUUUCCAAGCAUGGGUGAGACCAGGAUCUCAUUUUGCUCUGGUCUGGUCUGCAAUCUAGCCUCAAACCUGCUGCACUGAGAAGACAGGUGGAUGCAAGGCUUUGAUCCAUCGCCUUCCGUGCCCUGACCACGCAGGAGCAAUGUCCAAUUCAUUACACACAGCCUGCUGCAUCCCCUUGGAAGAAAAGGGACUCUAUCUAAGCUCUGCCUCAGAGGGGACUUAGAACAGCUGGCUCUGAGCACUCCAGCAGGCACUAAUUACCCUAACGAGCCUCCCCAGGCCUUGCCCCAAGCACCCUCUUCCCACUGGCCCUACAGCUCCAUUUAAGUUUAAGCCAGGAGCUGCGCUAUUUUACUGAGCACCUGGAACAGGGGACAAGUGGAUGAAUAGGGCAGCAUUGUCACACAUAGAGGCAGCCCUGGGCGUGGAGCAAACUUGGUGGGACAGAGCAUCCCUAAGUAGGGGUGGGCAGAUAAGCCAAGGCUGUGCUGAGGGAUAAGGGCGAGAAGCAUCCUAACUGCAGUGGAUGGCUGCGGAGUGUGAUUUUUGGGACUGAAAGGUGGAAGAGUUUUCUAACAUAGGACAAGGGGCAGGGCAGGUGUAUUCCUGGAAUGGAUGAAGGGAAGAUGCUGCAGGUGCUGACAUGACACUGAACUUCAAGUUUCGAGGUGAGGAAGGGGGAAUGAAGAUUUGCUGCUCAGUUGGGGCUGACCAAAGCUGCAUCCCAGGCCCCAAGGUGAAGCUGUGUCAGACUGUAAUCCUCUGCUCCCAAGCACUGUUGGAUCAUCCCAGCAGAGCAUGGAGAAUGUUUUCUUUUAACGGCAUAUUUUUCCUUAAACCAGUUUGCAGGCACGGCUGAGGCAUUUUAAUGGAAAUUUCCUCCCAGUAAAAAGGCUGCAGCACACAUACCAGAAACUCUUGGCCCGGAUCAUUAACAUUCAGUAAAACUAUAAGCAACCCAGUGGGAGCAUUGAGCUGCCAGGCAUGCUUCGUCUUCCUACAGCUCAGCACACAGACUGUGGAUGGGGGGCAGCCCUUCAGAUGUACAGACAGCAAAGUCAGAAGAGGCCAACACCAGUGAAGCCUUGCUUUGGCCACCAGGACCUGUCCCACAGUCUUUAAGCUGUACUUAAUCCUCUCAGCUGCCCUUUAUGGCCACUGAUCUGCAGCCACCUUACCCUGCUCUGCUGAUGGUGAAUCUCAGCAAGCUGUUCUCUCCUGUGUUCCUUGGCUGCUUUCUGUCUAUUCACAUGGGUGCUGGGAUCAGAUCUUCCAUUCCCAGGUCACGUUCAGGGUCUGUUUGUGCCUCAGUCCCAUUGCAGGAGCACAGCAUUUCUGGCAAGGUGCUGGGCACUGGAAGGAGCCCUCUGAGAUGGUCUCUUUUCUCAUUUCCCAUGCUUUGGGAGGAUACCAGGAGGAAAAUUGAUCCUAUUUACUCCAUGCCAACUUUACAGGGAAGGAGAGCCCUGAAUUCCCCCUCACACCCUCUGGUCCAGGUACACAGCAGGCACUGCUGAAACCAGCAGCCAGGAGCUCACAGCUGCACAGAGGAGGGAUGGAUGCAUCCUCAUCCCUGCUAUCCUCCAGCAUGGACACAGGACUGUGCCACACUCCAGUGCUGGGCUGCACGCUGCUGGACCCAAAGUGACCCUGGUGCGAUGGGGAAGCUGAUCCCAGGUUUGAGCAGAGCACAGCCCUUCACACUGGACAUGUUCCAAGGGUUAUUUGUGCCUGCUGACCUCACGAUGCUUUUCCUUCCAGCCCCUGCUGGGGUCCUCCUGUCUUUUUGCAUAAUCUCCUCUGAAGAAGUAGCAGGAGUGGGGCCUUCUUUGCAGCUUUUGUCCAGGAGAGCCGCCUUGCUGCACGGUUCCACUUUGAGAACCCCCCUCUCUUUUUGUGUUUGAGCUGAACCAUUUCUUUUCUCCCCUCUUUGCACCUCUUAACUUUCUCUCCUUCUCGACUCUGAUUUCUUUGCACCGUUAUUGUCCUCAAAAGUAUUUUGAGGACACAGUUUGUUCAAAGCAAGGCUGUGACAAUGCAAGGGCUGCAACUGGAAGCGUGGAUUAAAGCAGUGCUUUCUAUUUAUUUCUGAGCUUUUCCUCGCAAAGCUGUUUCUCUCAGACCCCAAUCCUGCUGCCGCUGUGACCUUUGCAUUUGCAGAGCGACCUUUGGAAAUCAAAGGGGCCUUUUAUCGGCAUCUGCCCAUCUGGAAGCGAUUGCAGCAGCGGGUGCAGGGCAGGUUGGGGCCUCGUGGCUGCAGCCUGGAGUGACCCAGUGAUGGGAAGAGGGGCUGAAGUGCCUUGCAUUGCAUCCUCGGGGUGGGAAUACCUCCGGUGUGCUGCCUGGAUGCAGGGAGAGCCUCAGCAGCCACGUCAACACUAUUUGAUUCACAGCCACCGCGUGUUCAGUGGACUCUGAGUUAUGUGCAUCGGUGCAAACUGCAGCCCUGGGCUUUGCUUUUCGUGCUGGCCUCCCCAAUCCUUUGUGUUCAAUUAUUUGUCAGGGAGGAGAAAACAUGAAGAAAGGAAAAAAGCACAGGAGAGCCCGGCAGCUGCCCUGGUGCUGCUGGAGAUGCCUCUCCAUCCUCCCGACAGAAGGGAGCGGAGCUCGGGACAGCGCUACUUUCUUUGCCUUCGGGCUCUCUCUGCCUUUUUUUAAUCCCCUUUUCCCCUCCCUCUCUC